rnacentral:lncRNA from 1 species
CCCCUUUUAAAAUUUAUCUUUUCUUCUUUCCCAUGAACAGAACCCAUUCUAUGGUGAUCAUGUCCAAAUCUCUUCCCAAAAACCCUUCUGGAAAACCUUGUUUUUCUUUCAAAUUCUUCGAUAAAUCCUUAUGGGACUCACAGUCAACUCUCAUCAAGAGACGUCAUCUUAAUUCCAGUCCAGCCCCCUCCUCCAAUAAAUCUCAUCCAAAUCCUCUCCACUCCCUCCCUCCAG